rnacentral:rRNA from 1 species
CGAAAGCGUGGGGAGCAAACAGGAUUAGAUACCCUGUUAGUCCACGCAGUAAACGAUGAAUGUUAGUCGUCGGGUAGCUAGUCUAUUCGGUGAUGCAGCUAACGCAUUAAACAUUCCGCCUGGGGAGUACGGUCGCAAGAUUAAAACUCAAAGGAAUAGACGGGGACCCGCACAAGUGGUGGAGCAUGUGGUUUAAUUCGAAGAUACGCGAAGAACCUUACCUGGCCUUGACAUAUUUUAGAAUUCUUUAGAGAUAGAGAAGUGCCUUCGGGAGCUAAUAUACAGGUGCUGCACGGCUGUCGUCAGCUCGUGUCGUGAGAUGUUGGGUUAAGUCCCGCAACGAGCGCAACCCUCGUCACUAGUUACUAACGGUUCGGCCGAGGACUCUAGUGAGACUGCCUUCGCAAGGAGGAGGAAGGUGAGGACGACGUCAAGUCAUCAUGGCCCUUACGGCCAGGGCAACACAUGUGCUACAAUGGUUAGGACAAUGAGACGCAAUACCGCGAGGUGGAGCAAAUCUAUAAACCUAAUCUCAGUUCGGAUUGUUCUCUGCAACUCGAGAACAUGAAGCUGGAAUCACUAGUAAUCGUAGAUCAGCUAUGCUACGGUGAAUACGUUCCCGGGUCUUGUACUCACCGCCCGUCACACCAUGGGAGUUGAUUUCACCCGAAGCGGGGAAGCUAAACUGGCUACCCUCCACGGUGGAAUUAGCGACUGGGGUGAAGUCGUAACAAGGUAACCGUA